rnacentral:rRNA from 1 species
AGGACGAACGCUGGCGGCGUGCUUAACACAUGCAAGUCGAGCGGUAAGGCCUUUCGGGGUACACGAGCGGCGAACGGGUGAGUAACACGUGGGUGAUCUGCCCUGCACUCUGGGAUAAGCUUGGGAAACUGGGUCUAAUACCGGAUAUGACCACAGUGCGCAUGUGUUGUGGUGGAAAGAUUUAUCGGUGCAGGAUGGGCCCGCGGCCUAUCAGCUUGUUGGUGGGGUAAUGGCCUACCAAGGCGACGACGGGUA